rnacentral:lncRNA from 1 species
GAUUCCAACAUUUCCCUUGAGCCAUCACACACAUUUUUGGGGGGGAACAGGUGCUGCAACGUUUUUUUAGUUCAUUCUCGGCAGAGGAGGAUUUUUGGGGGGGAGCUGCUGAACGUUUUCUUCUAGAGAAGUUUGAAAGAUGUUUACUUUGCUGGGCAUUGGAUGAAUGAAAGAAGCAAUUUUCUUUUUUUUAUUUUNUUAUUUUUAUUGCAAUUUUGAUUGAAGCAUUUUCUCAUUUCUUGCUGGAACGGUAAAGAUGUUUAUUUACAAUUAGAAGUUACGUUUUCUCUAUUUCCAUUGAAUGCAUAAGUGUUGUGGUUGAUGCUGGAGAUUUUUUUCAUUUUAG